ensembl:snRNA U6 U6 spliceosomal RNA
CUUUGUUCCUAGGCUGCAAAUACAUAUUAAAAUUGGAAUGAUACAGAAAAGAAUAUAAUAGCCCUAGGAUAAAUAUGGAAUGCAAAUAUGUGAAACAUUACAUGUAUCU